AUGCCCCAAGGUCCUUGCUUUUAUGGAACUUACUUUCUAGGGAGGGAGGUAAGGAAUAAGUAAACGAUAAUUUCAGCUAAUGGUAAGUGCGGAUGAAGAAAUAAAAUGGGGUGAUGUGCUAAUGGAGGGGUGCAACUUGAGAAAGGAUGUAGCAAGAUUUAGGGUGCUGUAAGGGGCAGGGAUGCUAGAUUUCCUGGGGGAGCUGAGCCAUCAGGGGAGAGCCAGGGUUCAGCGAGGGAGGCCUUGGUAUGGGGGAAGGAAAUGGUCUGAAAAGAGGAGGAAGGACCUGGGGAGUUUGCCAAUGAGAGGGGCUAGUUCCAGAGACCUGUUGGUGAGGACACAGAGUAUUAGAGGGUGGAUGACCUUGGGGUUACCCUUUGGGUUGUGACCAACAGGUCAAUUGCUAACUCCACAUUUGGCCCUGGGCAACCCUCAGGUGCUCAGACUCAACAUUGCCAACCACAAACAUCUCCUUUCCACCAAUUCUGCUUCCAGUGUCCCAGUCUCAAGGGCGGAACCACCACUCCUGGUCCCAAUGACUGGCAGCCUCAGUUGUGAUGGGUCGCUCCUCUCUUCCCUCUGAGACAGGACUGGGCCAGAAGAUCCAGCAAGAGCCAGAGGGCUCCCAAACCAGUCCCUCCUGCUCUGCUGCCCCGUAUCUUCCCGUUGUUUCUGCUCCUCCUCCAGGGAGCCAUUUGCACCUCCUCACCUCCCUAGGCUCAUACUCCUCUCCACUGCUCCCCCGGCCUAUAGGGAGCUCCUGGAACAAUGAGAAGAUUGGAAGGGAGAACCAAUCGACUGGGGAGGCUGGAGUCCCAGGAUCCCAAGUGUGGCCUUGCGUUACAGUCGGGAAUGAGAGCCUAGUGAGGGUAACAGAGGCAGGGGUGAGGGCUCUGCCUGCCUGCCUCGGUCCUCACUUCCUGGCAUCAUUUCCCCUGGGGCUGAUGCCUGCUCCCGCCAGGGUCCCUGCUUUCUUCUCUGCCUGGGCCCCAGACGCCCUCCAGAGUGAGCCUGUUCUGUCCACCUCUAUAUAGCCUGUGAACUGUGUUCAGGGGGUGGGCAAUUAUCCUGGAAGAAACGGGAACCCCCAGGGACAACUCCAUUAGGAACUGCCACAGGUCAGACCAGGGUUCUGGUGGGGUGUUUGAGGGGCAGGAUGGGGGAGAAGUGUGUGAGGAGGUCCGAUCAGAGCCUGGUCCCCUGCCCACCUGCAGGCGUGGGCUCCUCUUCAAGCUGGUCUCUGCCCAAGCCUCUUCCUCUGCAUUGCCUGAGGCACGAGGGCUUUUGUCUCCAGGAAGUCCAGGUAGGGCCAAGAACUAGGUGGGAGGAGUUUGGCUUCUGCGCCGUGCAGGGUCAUGCUGGCUUCGGCCCCUUGAUGCGCCAGCUGUGGGAGGGCGCUCGAGCAUAUAGCUGGCCAGUCAGCAGGCAGGGCCCUCGAGGAAACAGUUGCUCUAUCCACACAGGUUCCCUGAUGCCUGGGGUAGGUUGGCUGCUGGUACUCCUGCUGGCCCUGCUGGGGGCUGCCCUGCUCUUCUGGCAGCAUGUUCCAGCACGAAGCAAGAUCCCCGGGGCACAGAAGCGUAGGGGGUGGCACUGCAGCAGUUGGAGGCCCUGGCCCAGCGUCUCCGGCAGCAGGAACCCUCCCUGAACCCCAAGGCCAUCCUGGAGCUGCCCCUGGAGAGUCUGGCCCAGAAGCUGCAGGAUGAAGAGCUCAGUCUGGAGAGCAUCCUCUCUAGCUACUUAGAGGAGGCCCUGAAGGUACAUAAGAAGGUAAACUGCCUGAUGGAUUUCCUGGGCGAGCGUGAGGAGGAACUGCAGGCAUUGAAGAAGCUCAAGAAGACUGAGAGAGGCCUUCUCUAUGGGGUCCCCAUCAGCCUCAAGGACACCUAUGACUGCAAGCUUUUAUUGCAGUAACCCCAUCUAUGGACGGACCCUGAACCCUCUGAACUUAAAGAAGACACGUGGGGGCUCCUCAGGGGGUGAGGGAGUCAUGCUGGCUCAAGGGGGUUCCAUCCUGGGCAUGGGGUCCGACACUGCUGGCGGCAUCUGCAUACCAGCCAGCUUUUGUGGGGUCUGUGGCUUCCAGACCACGGGAUACUGCCUCAGUGACUACAGUGGGUGGCCCCAUAGCCCGGGAUGUGGAGAGCCUGGUGCUGUGUAUGCGAGCCCUGCUAAGUGAAGACAUGCACCGAUUGGACCCCGCUGUGCCUUUCAUGCCCUUCAGGGAGGAGGUAUGCUCCAGUAACCAGCCCCUUCGAAUGGGCUACUGUGAAUCAGAUGGCUUCGCCCAGCCAACUCCUAGCAUGGCCAGGGCCAUGAAGCUCGCCUCCAGGCUGCUCCAGGCUGCAGGAGGACAUCAGUGAGGGGGACAUUGUGGACCCUUGCAUAAAGACAGUGAUCAGCAUGCGCCGCCUGCCGGACCCUCUCAAGAGUUUCUUGGCCUAUAUCCUGAAGUACGCAGAGCCCUGAGCUAGCCAGAAGUUGAAAGAGAUUCGUGGAAUGGGGACUCCCAAAAAACUGUGGGAACAUCACACAGCAGUGGAGGAGCAUCAGCAGGAGUUCAUAGCCAAGUGGAGGUCCUCGGACCUGGAUGUUCUGCUGACACCACCGCUAACCCCUGCCUUCUCUACAGACCAUUCUAGCAUGGCAUUAGGUGAGACGAACCUGGGUCCUGAUGGGGUUGAGACCCAGAGCCCAGGACUUCAGAGUCCUGCCACAGCUUCUGUGGCCUUGACCUCUGUUACCAUUCACUAUUGGAAAAAAAAAAUUUCUUAAAUUGAGGUAAAAUUCAGAUAACAUAAAUUCACUAUUUUAAAGUGUACAAUUCCGUGGUUUUGAAUGUAUUUAGAAUGCUGUGCAACUACCACCGGUAUCUAAUUCCAGAACAUUUCCGUUAUCUUGAAAAUAAACCCUGUACCUGUG